rnacentral:rRNA from 1 species
AUGAACGCUGGCGGCGUGCCUCAUCCCUGCCAGUCGAGCGAACAGAUGAGGAGCUUGCUCCUCUGACGUUAGCGGCGGACGGGUGAGUAACACGUGGAUAACCUACCUAUAAGACUGGGAUAACUUCGGGAAACCGGAGCUAAUACCGGAUAAUAUAUUGAACCGCAUGGUUCAAUAGUGAAAGACGGUUUUGCUGUCACUUAUAGAUGGAUCCGCGCCGCAUUAGCUAGUUGGUAAGGUAACGGCUUACCAAGGCAACGAUGCGUAGCCGACCUGAGAGGGUGAUCGGCCACACUGGAACUGAGACACGGUCCAGACUCCUACGGGAGGCAGCAGUAGGGAAUCUUCCGCAAUGGGCGAAAGCUUGACGGAGCAACGCCGCGUGAGUGAUGAAGGUCUUCGGAUCGUAAAACUCUGUUAUUAGGGAAGAACAAAUGUGUAAGUAACUGUGCACGUCUUGACGGUACCUAAUCAGAAAGCCACGGCUAACUACGUG